rnacentral:misc_RNA from 1 species
GAUGAAGAACGCAGCGAAAUGCGAUAAGUAAUGUGAAUUGCAGAAUUCAGUGAAUCAUCGAAUCUUUGAACGCACAUUGCGCCCCCCAGUAUUCUGGCGGGCAUGCCUGUUCGAGCGUCAUUUCAACCAUCAAGCCCUGCUUGUGUUGGGGUCCUGCGGCUGCCCGCAGGCCCUGAAAACCAGUGGCGGGCUCGCUAGUCACACCGAGCGCAGUAGCACAUCUCGCUCAGGGCGUGCGGCGGGCUCCAGCCGUUAAAGCACCCACCUUUCGCAAGGUUGACCUCGGAUCAGGUAGGAAUAUCCGCUGAACUUAAGCAGAUCAAUAAGCGGAGGA